CCACUCGGACGCGAUACAGGGACGAAACAAGGAAGCCAAGAUACCCUCCUGAACUUUCAAGGGGCCUCCCAGCUCCAGACAUGCCCAUCCGAAAACGAUCUGCUUCUUCAACAUCACUCCCCCCUCAAAACGUAUCUUGCCCUCGCGUAGUUGCCUGACAGGAUUUUGGUCGCCUUCCUGACAGCUAUGGUAAUUUCCUGCUUUUUGGGUUACUCGACUGGGAUUCCCAUUUAGCUCCACUCAACAGGAGGCCCAUGCUUAGUUCUCUCCUUGUUAGUGUUUAUGCUCAACUCAUCCUCACCCUUCUGGUAAGAGGGCUCCUUGACACUGAUAUCUUGACACCCUCACAGGCAGAAGAGAGGGCCUAAGUUUGUCUCACUUCUUUUUGCCUCUUUAAAAUAAAUUGGCCUGUACUGGCUGCCAUGAGGCUGAGUUAUUUCAAGUGCAUAACUCAGGGUGACAGGUAUGCCAUUCACUAUGCCCGUAUUGGGUCUGCCUUCUAAUCUCUGCUUUCAUUCACGGUGGUUCUAUCUCUCUUGACCGCCAGAGUCAGUCCUGGGAGCGGUGUGGGGCUCGGACAGUUGUAAGACGUGUUGUGUGGGCUGAAUUAGCUGUUGUACAAUUCCUGUCUAUCUCAUUGAAUACGGCUUUCAGCGGCCCCUCGUGCCAAGUUUGAGUCCAAUUAAACUACAAUGAAAGGUACCAUGAUUUCAUUUGCUUGGAUUGUCACAUUUCAGAAGUUCAGUAGCCUGCAAAAUGUUCGCUGUCUCUCAUUAAAGCCAGUCCCGGCAACUGUGUAAAGGCUCUAAUUUAGCUGCUUUUUAUACUCUGCUUUCAGCCCUGAAGAUGGCUGCCUGCAGGGAAGAAUCCUAACGCGACCCGAGAUAUCGGAAAGCGUUUCUGACCACGCAAAUGGAAAAGGCUCAAGAAUAGCAAAACUGACUCUACAACAGAAAUAAGUCUUCUCCAUCCACUGAAUCUUUCAGCUGAGCCCGGAGUAAGAUCUGAAAAGAGGAAGAGUUACAAGUGGAAAUUUUGCAGUCUGGUUGGGUGAAGGUCAACAUUCACCCAGUACAUUUUUUUGAUCAUCCCACCAUCACUAUCCUUAACUCUCAAGGCACAAGAAACGGUCACAUUACCGAGCUGGAAGAGAAAUAAGGAACAAAAGAAAUUAUUCAUGGAGUUACAAUGCAAAGAAGUCUAUUUUAAAAAUAAACAGAACUGAGUUUUUGGAGCCUCUGAAUAAAAGAUAAGUUGACUGCACACAGAAUGUCAAAAUGGAGGGGAAGGAAGGUAUUUUUCCCCCCAACACUUUUUUUCUGUACUGAAGCACGACACAAAGGAAAAAAAAAAAACCUAAUUAUAGUUUUAAAUGUCCAAAACGCCAUGUCCACCAAAAGCCCGAUGCUCAUUAGUACUAGUAAUUAACUUUACAACUGUCAACACAAACAGCACACAGGCUGACAGAUAGAGAGUAGCUCGGAGGGUGCUAAUAAAUCCGGAAAUAACAACUUGACAUACAGAUGCACAAAAGGAUGCAGGUGAUAAAGAAAUGUUGACAUCAAAUCUAAUUAUCUUCGAAACGGCCAAGUACAGCACGAGCCACAGUUAUUGCUGGUGAUGAGCCCCACCGGAACGGCGCUUAACCACUGCCUGCAACCCAGCUUUUACAGCCCUUGUCAGAGCUGGUGAGGACGAUAUCAAACAGGAAAUUAUGAGUGCCAUGACCCCUCCAAGUCAAAAAUCCAGUGAUGAAUAUGGGCUCAGCAAGGCAUAGCAGAUUACCCCCUCACGAGUUCUAAAGCUGGGAUGAUAUAUGACAUUUUUAUCAGGCACUUUCUCAGGAAUGUCACCAAGAGGGAAAAUAAAGGCCCAUGCGCAGAGAACUAGGUGAAUUAUGCAACUGUAAUUGCCGAUCAUAACCUGAUAUGAGUUGAAAUUGCUCUGUUUUCAUAUUGAGAUAGCAUAAAAUUGUCGGGAAAUGCAAUGGCUCCUUAAUGUGGGCUAGAUGAGUCUAAUAUUCUGAUCAUUUUUCACUCGGCUUGCAAGGUAAAUCGAGCUUCCCUCGCACAGCCACUGUGGCCCAGGGCAAUCGAGGGGCCCAAUUUUACACUUGAAUUGAGCAAAUAUGUGUAAACCACGAUUUUUCAUAUUUUCUGCAUGCAUAAGAAGAUGAAACAUCUUUAUCAUCUGUAUUGUCUGGCUGAGCUUAUACAAAAUAUUAGUUUAUCUGUCCUACUUUGGAUCGUUCCAUAAGCGAGACACAUAGAUCUGAAGGAAGGCAAUAUCCCCCCCAUAUAUAAAACAAGUCCAUCUUUUAUGCAGUGUCACCGCACAAGUUUUCCUAUUUGGAGCCAACGCCACCGCCACAAAAGUCGACACAGUGGCAGCGCCACAAAGGAAGACAUUUGUUCGAGGGGAGGAGAGGAGGCCGAUCCAGGCGCUAAACGCAGCCAACUGUUCCGCCAUUCUCCUGUUUGCGCACGGGAGCCGGGGGAAAGCCAAAUAAUCCCUGAUGUCUCUGCUAGACUGUCUCCCUUUUCCCACUUAAAUCAGUUACACCGGCAAGAGGCUGGUAUCAGCAUUUUAUUGCUUUCCCGCUGCGGCCUGCGGCACCAAACGG